UACGGGGGGAGCAAGCGUUGUUCGGAUUUACUGGGCGCAAAGGGCGCGUAGGCGGUCGUGACAAGUCACUUGUGAAAUCUCCGGGCUUAACUCGGAACGGUCAAGUGAUACUGUCGGACUAGAGUACAGAAGGGGCAACUGGAAUUCUCGGUGUAGCGGUGAAAUGCGUAGAUAUCGAGAGGAACACCUGCGGCGAAGGCGGGUUGCUGGGCUGAUACUGACGCUGAGGCGCGAAAGCCAGGGGAGCGAACGGG
rnacentral:rRNA from 1 species